rnacentral:rRNA from 1 species
CAGUCGCCGCGGGAAUACGUAGGGUGCGAGCGUUAAUCGGAAUUACUGGGCGUAAAGCGUGCGCAGGCGGUUAUAUAAGACAGAUGUGAAAUCCCCGGGCUCAACCUGGGAACUGCAUUUGUGACUGUAUAGCUAGAGUACGGCAGAGGGGGAUGGAAUUCCGCGUGUAGCAGUGAAAUGCGUAGAUAUGCGGAGGAACACCGAUGGCGAAGGCAAUCCCCUGGGCCUGUACUGACGCUCAUGCACGAAAGCGUGGGGAGCAAACAGGAUUAGAUACCCGAGUAGUCCCUGUCUCUUAUAC